CACCAACCUCAUCAACUUUCCUGAACACUCCUCGACCACUGGAUCCUCAACUCUGUCUCCUCGCCUAGCAUUAGCCUUACUCACAAUCUCAAUCAAUCAUCUCAUCUUUAAGCCUUUCUGAAAUGGUUAGAAAGGAAUAGCAAGGGUGAGCAACAAUGCUCAGCAAGUAAUAAUAAACAAUGAUAGUUCUGAAAUGAUAUAACAGAAGUUCACGAGUUCAAGAUAUAAGAGGAUUCAACCUGAGUUCAUGAGUUCAUGGUAUUGUAUAGAAUGAUUUACAAUACCUUGCAGCAUUUAAACUGAGAAAUUCAAUCUUUCCAAAGAAUUAUUGAAUUGGACUAUCACAUUUUAAUUAAAACCAAGGUUAGGCAGCUGAUCAGUUCCGCACUAACCCCGAGCAGGCCCCGCCAUGCUCUAUCACUGGAUCCAAGGCACUCAUUGGCCUAACAUGACCACGAAUCUGGUCCACAGGUUUAUAUAAAAACAAUAAUCCAAUUCUCUAAUUCAAUUCAAGAAGCCAAUGUAAAUUAACAGAACAUCAUCAUAAAUAUCAUCAACAACAGAAUAAUUCCAAUUCAAACUUUGAUAAUAAUCUAUUCAUAAAUCAUGAUCCAUCAUUUCAUAAAUCACAGUUCAGGAAAUCCUCAACUAUUCAGUAUCCUCCAUUAUCGGCUAAGCAACUGAAUUUAGCCUGCUAAACCAGCAUGACAAUGGCGGGUUGAAUAAUCAAGAAGAUCCCAAUUCAUUCAAAGCUCUAACUAUCACUGAGCAACACAUGCUUCAAUGACAAUCUGAACUUCGAAUUAAUUUGUAAAACGGAAAUUCUUUAGAAACUUGAAGAUUAGAAACAAUGGGUUAGAAUACUCGCACUUUCGAACAUUGAAAAGAAAGGUAUGAAUACUUGAAACAUAUACCAAAGGAAUGGAUCUGAAUAUUUGCAAUAUAUCCGAGAGAAAGGUUUAGGAUACUUGCAACACAUAUAGAAAAGAAUGGAUCAGAAUAUGCAAUAUAUCCAAAAGCAGGGUGUAGGAUACUUGCCUUAAAUCUGACUCCAGUCUCACAUCUCUAUCUCAUCUUUCAACUUUCACAAUCUAUGCAUCUCGUAAUCUCUAGACCAUCUCUAGCUAUACUCUAUUCGCCACUUCGCUUCGCUUACUCAAUCAUCCCUUAUUCGCUUUGCAAUACCAAUCCGACUUUCUGACGUCUUCCAGCGUACACGUCUCGUCCAAAUCCUUUAUGAGAAUAAGAUAAUACUAUAGUCACUAAACAAUAUAUCGCAUACACAUAUCACGUAUACCGAUACCCACUUAUAUACCCCUUUAAACCUAUCACAUAUCACUUAACACAUAAUCAUGCUUUGACUCUAAUAUAUAGUCAUAUCAUUCUCCACAUAGUAUGUCACAAUUCAAAACUCAUAUAAAUCAUAUCGAUAAUCUGACAGAGUCUCGUCUAUUUAUAAGACUAUCCACCUGUCAACCUAUUCUCAAUCAACAACCAAUCAACCAAUUUCAAUUCCUAUAAACCAUAUGUUCUUAUCCAAUAUCAGUCAAGUCAUGACACUAUGUCAUUCAAAUCAUUUAUCAUGUAUAUAAUAUCAAGAAUAAACAUAUAUAUCACGUAAUCAUCAAUUAAUAGCAAUCAAAUAACAUAUAAUCACAUUUUGCACAUUUAACAAAAAUUAUUCACAUUCUCGACUCCAUCAUAAUAUUAUGUCAUAUCAAACUAGACUUUAUAAGCUUCUGUCUCUCUUUCGUUUCACUUGAUUCCGACUUACGGAUCAAAAGUUAUGAUCAAAACUGUUUUCUAACUCCUCUGUCGGCACAUAACACAUCAAACAGAUAGCAGGCAACACACCACACAUAAGGUUUCCCAUCCCAAUUGAUAUUAAAUCAAGUCUUGGGUUAAAACUGAUUUUUCGGGAAUUUUCUGGAAUUUUUAAACAUUUUUCGGAAUUAAAAUCGAUAAAAGAAUCACUUUUCGGAUAAAUAAUCAAGUCCCAAAUACUUGAAAUUGGACUUGAAAUCAUUCAUAAACAAUAAUAGAGCCUUGAAAAUAAUUUAGAAAAAUAUUUCAAAGCUCGAAACUAUUUUUGGGAUUUUUAAAUCAAAAAGGAAUAAUUAAAUCCAAAUAAUUAAUCAAUUAAAAUCAAUUAAUAAUUAAUUAAAUUAAUUAAUCAAUUAAUAUUUAAAUUAAUUGACCAAUUAAAAUAAUUAAUUACUAAUUAAAAUUAAUUAAUAAACUAAUUUAGAUUUAUUUUUGAAUAAAGAAAUAAUUAAAAACUAUUUUUGAAAUUCAAAUAAUUAAAUAAAAACAAUUUUUGAAAAUUAAAAUCAAAAGGUUUAAAGUGUCAGAUUCAUAAACUUUUAACACAGGGUGAAAAGUGUAACUUUUGAGAAGUUUGAUGGACUGUUUGCGAAAAACGAAAGUGCAGUGCUUGCACUUCAUCAUCUUUACAAGUUGGGUGGCCAAACGGCAAUUUGCCGCCGGCCACCACUAACUUCGCCGGAUACGGCCACAGAGGCCACCACUGCCUCCCAGAAUCUCCAGAAUCACUCUAGAGGCCACCAGGAACCUAUUCGUGCCAUCACUUUAAGCAAACAAUCGGCCAUUUGGCCGUAAAUCCCGCCGAGAAAACUCGACGCCGCCAUGGCUGAGCUUCUCCGACGAACACGACCAGACCUCCUCCACUCGAUUUGAAGCUACCAAUCGAUUCUACACCUCAAAAUACACAUGCUAGUACCUUCCAAUCAUACCCCGAACUACCAGAUUACAAACCCCCAAUUUCCAAUUAAAAAUAUCCAAGAACACUCAAGAACAUUCAAGAACACAACUAAAUAAUCAAACCCACUUUUCUAGGUGUUAUGGAACUCAAAAAUCAACAUAUAAUAUACCAAAACGACGAGAAAAACACGUUCUACAACAUAGAAGCAUCAAAACAAUCAAACAACCAAGUUUGCAAAAAUUCACUAUUUAAAUCUUAAUAAUUCGAAUCUUAAAGCUUCAAUUACUCCCUACCUGUGAAUCUCAGGUUGUUUUUGAUGAUUGAUUAGAGUUCUACUCUUCGAUAUCUUCGAUUUGACUAUUCGCACGCUUGAUUCUGACUCCAAUAACGCCUUCAAAUCUUCGUUUGAUUAUGAAGAACACGAAGAACACCGCUCGGUUUCUCUCGGUAUUCGUGCAGAGAAACUGGUGAAAUGAUUUUACGGGUGAAAAUAAGCUCUAGAAAGGUCUAUUUAUAUUUACAAAUAAUUGGUACCCC
rnacentral:lncRNA from 1 species